CACGUAGGGUGCGAGCGUUUGUCCGGAAUUAUUGGGCGUAAAGAGCUCGUAGGCGGUGUGUCGCGUCGGCCGUGAAAACCUGCAGCUUAACUGUGGGCUUGCGGUCGAUACGGGCAUCACUGGAGUUCGGCAGGGGAGACUGGAAUUCCUAGGUGUAGCGGUGAAAUGCGUAGAUAUCAGGAGGAACACCGGUGGCGAAGGCGGGUCUCUGGGC
rnacentral:rRNA from 1 species